UGAGUUUCUGUCUUCAUGCAGCAAGUCGAGAACUCUAUCAGCCUUUUAUUAAUAUUUACUGUGUGAGUCUGGGAUUUUUAUUAAGAAGCGCUUGAAUAAAAAUGUCUUUAAACAGUUUAUUUAGUCAGAUCAGCAGUCGAAAAGCCACAUAUGUUCAGUAUGACAUUAGAUGAAACAAAGAAAAACAACCCAGAUCAAAGAAAGAUUUUUCACUGCAUUAUUAUUAUUUCAUAAUCUGGAAAUUAAAGGGACAUUUUCAUACUUUUUUUUUUGAGGAAAUUACUACUGCUAGACCUGAAUAUUCGAAUAUCUGGUUGUUAUGGUGGUAUCUGAUUAUUAAUUUUGAGGUCCAAAUAUUUAGACCCCCCCCCCCACAGUUGGACAGACUAUCUGAAUAUUCUGCACGUCCCUUCCUCUAGUGGAACAGAUGCGUAGACAAGAGGAAGUGCUAAGGGGGGCAAAGGCAGCUGGUCAGGCCAAACAGGGGCAGUGGUUGAACCGAGAAGGUGUUGAGAAGAGGAAGCUUAGCUGGAGGGACCUGUGGACUAUGGAAGAAAGUCAUAUUAAAUUUCUAAUAGGGGCAACAUACGAUGUGUUUCCAGCCCCUCAGAACCUAAGACUCUGGGUAGAUGGUGACCAAUCAUGUCCGCUGUGCUCAGGUACUGCAAGCUUACAGCAUAUUUUGUCUGGUUGCAUAAUUAGCUUAUACAUGGAGGCUGAGAAUGCUGAGAAGCUUAGCUGCAGGAACUGAAGAGAGGAGAAAGCAGGUGAAUUCUGGAGGUUCUAGUAAGGAGAGGUUAGUGGUGAAAUUAGUUGGAGAGGAGGAGAAGGAUGAGGGCCUUUAAGUCAGGAAGGAGGCAGGAGUCGCCUGGUAGGAGCUGGUGAUGGGAAAUGCAGGUAGAUUUAAAGCUUGAUGAAAGCUUGUUGUUCCCAAAGAAAUAGUGUGAACUAAUCUGAGGCCAGACAUUGCUGUGUGGUCUGUGAAGGAAAAGACUGUGAAUUUUAUUGAGUUAACAGCCCUGUAGGAAAAUUCAGUGGAAGCAGCUUAUGAGAGGAAGAAGGCUGGAUAUGUAUGGAAGCAAAUCAGACUCAUCAGAUUCUGAAUUUUAAAAGCUGCUGAAUUUCUUACUUUGAAUUUUUUUUGCAUCAAAAUUACGUAUGUGAAUUUUUUAUGCCUGAAUUUAGCUCAUCAAAAUUCUAAAAACCAGUUAAAAAUUCAAUGUCUUCAAGAUUCACCAUCAAAAAAUUCAAUGUUCAAAAUUCGCCAUCAAAAAAUUCAAUGUUCAAAAUUCACUGUCAAAAAAUUCGCUGUUCACAUCCGGGGGACUCAGGCGUAAACAAUCGAUCCUGGCCAAAAUCGAACCAACGCCCAGCCAAUCACGUGGCGCUCCUCCGGUCAUGUGACGCAGACGGUUCACCUCACAAGACCGGGGUCAACCACAGCUACCAGCAUGAACGACGGCGCUUCACAACACCGUCUGAACUGACCAGUCUGGUGAAAUUCUGGACUGGAUGGGAGACUCUACCAAGAACUCUCUCCUCAGAAGUAGUGAAUGGCAGAUACCUGACAGCCUCCACCUGCUAUGAGACCUUACAUUCCCAGGACAUUACAAGGACCACACAUCAUUUAAGACUGAUAUCCUGGCCUGUAUUUGCACUUGCCAGUCAAGAUAUGUUAGGUGUUGUUCUCUAGUUAGUUUUACUUGACUGACAAAACUAAGUGCACUUUUGGAUUCCCUCCCCUACCUGUUCUCCCAACUCACCUGACAGGUUAUCUGGCUGAAGUAUGCGUGUUUCUGCCAUACAUUUAAAGUAUCUGAAGUUAAGAAUAUUUCUGGUGAACAAUACAUGCAAUCACAGCAUUAAAGCAGGAGUUAAAAAUGAA